CGGCGGACGGGUGAGUAACACGUGGGUAACCUACCUAUAAGACUGGGACAACUUCGGGAAACCGGAGCUAAUACCGGAUAAGAUAUCGAACCGCAUGGUUCGAUAGUGAAAGAUGGUUUUGCUAUCACUUAUAGAUGGACCCGCGCCGUAUUAGCUAGUUGGUGAGGUAACGGCUCACCAAGGCAACGAUACGUAGCCGACCUGAGAGGGUGAUCGGCCACACUGGAACUGAGACACGGUCCAGACUCCUACGGGAGGCAGCAGAU
rnacentral:rRNA from 1 species